CAACAAUGCGGUAAGUUUGCUGUUGUAUUAAGUUUUUUAUUUGACUUGCUCUUAAUUAUUUUUGUUUAAUUUUCAAUUGAUUGCUUUAGUAAUUCUAUUACUGUUCUCUGUAUUGUUUGUGCAGUCAAAUUUUCACUCUGGAUGAGUCUUGACGAUACUUGUGAUCUUGCUUUCAAAACGCCUUUCACUGGUUAUGUGAUGAAGUAAAGGUAAUCUUCAAGUAAAGUUUCAACAAGAUUUGAUGUCAACUCUAUAGCCAUAUGCCUAAAAAGGUAAAAUUAAUGUGACAAUUUAUGUUAGCAAUUGUUUUGAUCAAACAUUUAAUGGAUUGACGAGAUUAAUGUCCGUGUUUUCAACUGUGCAAUGGCUCUUAUCAAUCUUCAAGUGAUCUGCAUUUCCAAUGCUGAACACAAGCCUCGAAAGGAUGGUGGUGAACUGUCAUAAUUUUCCAAUCAACAACCAACAGCCGGAUAAACAGCAUCGAGCAGUUUUUACAUGUAUUUGUAUGUCUUAUCCUGAAAAUUCAGUAGUGAACAGAGCCCAGCAAAAUUGAAGCAAAAUGAAAAUGACUUUAAAAGAUUCACUUAAUCAACUUACUCCUGCUUCACCAUCCAUUUGGAUACGAAUGGGUAAACGUUUUGCCUCUCCAUCUUCACUUGGAAGUCCAGUUAAAGGUUCAUAGUAAGGACUAUCUCGAGAUUCAGAGCCCUUAAUAAAUACAAGGAAUUAAUUGACGUUUAUGCAAUCAAGUCUGGUUGAUUAGAUUGUCUUCAGGCUGAUACUUACUUGAUAUCCUCUGCAAUUACAACGAGCUCCUGUCUGUACAUAAGCUGAA